ACGGGUGCGUAACGCGUGGGAAUCUGCCCUUAGGUUCGGAAUAACAGCUGGAAACGGCUGCUAAUACCGGAUGAUAUCGCGAGAUCAAAGAUUUAUCGCCUGAGGAUGAGCCCGCGUUGGAUUAGGUAGUUGGUGGGGUAAAGGCCUACCAAGCCGACGAUCCAUAGCUGGUCUGAGAGGAUGAUCAGCCACACUGGGACUGAGACACGGCCCAGACCCCUACGGGAGGCAGCAGUGGGGAAUAUUGGACAAUGGGCGCAAGCCUGAUCCAGCAAUGCCGCGUGAGUGAUGAAGGCCCUAGGGUUGUAAAGCUCUUUUACCCGGGAAGAUAAUGACUGUACCGGGAGAAUAAGCCCCGGCUAACUCCGUGCCAGCAGCCGCGGUAAUACGGAGGGGGCUAGCGUUGUUCGGAAUUACUGGGCGUAAAGCGCACGUAGGCGGCUUUGUAAGUCAGAGGUGAAAGCCUGGAGCUCAACUCCAGAACUGCCUUUGAGACUGCAUCGCUUGAAUCCAGGAGAGGUCAGUGGAAUUCCGAGUGUAGAGGUGAAAUUCGUAGA
rnacentral:rRNA from 1 species